AACUUUAUGGAUGAGAUUUUGAUAUUUUUCUGUUGGAAUAGUGGUGUCAUUUAUGCGGUGACCGAGCUGCUCUGAUGUAGACAUAAAGUUUAGAAAUCAAAUGUUUAUAACUCUUUUUAAAAAGAACUUUCGUUUCAUUUGAUCCGGGUAUUUUGAUAUGUUGACUCAAGAAUAGAGUCUAUACAGGAUCACAAAAGCCUGGUUUGACCAAACACAUAGACAUUUGGUGAUUUGAAUAUGAACAGGCAAUUUUAGUGGAGAAUUAAAAGACUGGGUAAAUAUAUAACACGAGACCACGAGGAACAUAUUGUAUUACUUCAUACCACGUAACAGUCUUUAGAAAAGACCGGUACAGACAUUGUCCAUAUAGGUAUUCAAAACGAAAUGUGUAUUUAAUCAGAUGGAAUCUCCCUUGUGUGGCUUUAUGUGAAGGACCGGCACAUUUCUGAAACGAGCAAAUGAAAAUAAUGUAGGUUUAAAAUUCAUAGCUUCUACAUACCCAUUUACUGUUAAAAAACGACGCCAUUUUGUCGGUUGGAUUAUUGGUUGAUUGUAAAUACCUAUGGAUGUUAUUGAUCAUGGUGACAAAACCUCCACGGUGGCUGAUGGUGUAGUAGAGCUAAUGGGAAAUAACUGAUGGGAAAUGAACAGACCAAGAAAAGCGGGAAAUCUAAUAACGGCGGAGCGCGUGUCGUCAUAGUUUCUCCGUCAGCUUCAGAAAACUUGGAUCCUAAUGUUAAAACUCGGAUAAAAUUCCGAGGGGACAAGCGUAAGCAUAUAACAUUCACAAAACGGCCCCAAAUGGUCGAGAUAGGUCAGCUACCCAAAGACCUCGCACAAAAUGGCAGAAUUAAGUUCCAACGUAGUCAAACGAGGAAUGUUGGAAUCUCCGACAAUGGAGAAGACAGGAUUGCUUCGAUGACGUCAGUAAAUACCGUGACGUCAACUACGCCUGGUGCUCCUAUAAUUGAAACGCAUCAACAACCUGAAGAGGAUUUCCAGUUUGAAGAAAGACCGACCCAACAAAGAGCUUUAACACAAGUACACGAAAUAUAACGCCAUUUAUCCAGGAAUUUUCAUUUGUGUGAUGUAUGCAUUCUUUCAUGUCUACAUGUCAGCUCUGUUUUGUGACACCUAAACUGAAUUUUGUAUACAUUGUUGUAUAUAUCAUAUAUAUAUAUGUUUAUACAUGUAUUUAUUUUUAUGUGAAUCCCUCUGAAAAGAGUUGCAACGGCUAUAAAGUUUGAAAACAUAAA